GAUGAAGAACGCAGCGAAAUGCGAUAAGUAAUGCGAAUUGCAGAAUUCAGUGAGUCAUCGAAUCUUUGAACGCACAUUGCGCCCUGUGGUAUUCCGCAGGGCAUGCCUGUUCGAGCGUCAUUUCAACCCUCAAGCCCCGCUUGGUGUUGGGCCCCGCCCGCCGUGGCCGGCCCUAAAGACAGUGGCGGCGCCGCCUGGCCCUCAGCGUAGUACAGCUCUCGCUCCAGGGUCCGGCGGCCGCCUGCCAGAACCCCCCCAACUCUGUGGUUGACCUCGGAUCAGGUAGGGAUACCCGCUGAACUUAAGCAUAUCAAUAAGCGAGGA
rnacentral:misc_RNA from 1 species